rnacentral:tRNA from 1 species
UGCCCCUGUCGUCUAGAGGCCUAGGACCUCUCCCUUUCACGGAGGAAACGGGGAUUCGAAUUCCCCUGGGGGUAU